GACGAACGCUGGCGGCGUGCUUAACACAUGCAAGUCGAGCGGAAAGGCCCUUCGGGGUACUCGAGCGGCGAACGGGUGAGUAACACGUGAGUAAUCUGCCCUUCACUCUGGGAUAGCCACCGGAAACGGUGAUUAAUACCGGAUACGACCAAUCCCUGCAUGGGGUGUUGGUGGAAACUUUUUUGGGUGGGGGAUGUGCUCGCGGCCUAUCAGCUUGUUGGUGGGGGAAUGGCCUACCAAGGCUUCGACGGGUAGCCGGCCUGAGAGGGUGACCGGCGACACUGGGACUGAGACACGGCCCAGACGCCUACGGGAGGCAGCAGUGGGGAAUAUUGGACAAUGGGCGGAAGCCUGAUCCAGCAACGCCGCGUGAGGGAUGACGGCCUUCGGGUUGUAAACCUCUUUCAGCACCGACGAAGCGCGAGUGACGGUAGGUGCAGAAGAAGGACCGGCCAACUACGUGCCAGCCGCCGCCGUAAAAC
rnacentral:rRNA from 1 species